rnacentral:rRNA from 1 species
UACGUAGGGCGCAAGCGUUGUCCGGAAUUAUUGGGCGUAAAGAGCUCGUAGGCAGCUUGUCACGUCGGGUGUGAAAGCCCGGGGCUUAACCCCGGGUCUGCAUUCGAUACGGGCUAGCUAGAGUGUGGUAGGGGAGAUCGGAAUUCCUGGUGUAGCGGUGGAAUGCGCAGAUAUCAGGAGGAACACCGGUGGCGAAGGCGGUUCUCUGGGCCUUACCUGACGCUGAUGCGCGAAAGCCAGGGGAGCGAACGGG